rnacentral:rRNA from 1 species
AGCAGCCGCGGGAAUACGUAUGUCACAAGCGUUAUCCGGAUUUAUCGGGCGUAAAGCGCGUCUAGGUGGUUAUGUAAGUCUGAUGUGAAAAUGCAGGGCUCAACUCUGUAUUGCGUUGGAAACUGUGUAACUAGAGUACUGGAGAGGUAAGCGGAACUACAAGUGUAGAGGUGAAAUUCGUAGAUAUUUGUAGGAAUGCCGAUGGGGAAGCCAGCUUACUGGACAGAUACUGACGCUGAAGCGCGAAAGCGUGGGUAGCAAACAGGAUUAGAUACCCGGGUAGUCCCUGUCUCUUAUACAC